UACAGAGGGUGCAAGCGUUAAUCGGAAUUACUGGGCGUAAAGCGUGCGUAGACGGUUAUGUAAGUCGGGUGUGAAAGCCCCGGGCUCAACCUGGGAAUGCCAUUCGAGACUGCAUAGCUAGGGUGCGGAAGAGGGAAGCGGAAUUUCAGGUGUAGCGGUGAAAUGCGUAGAUAUCUGAAGGAACACCCGUGGCGAAGGCGGCUCUCUGGGACGGUACUGACGCUGAGACGCGAAAGCGUGGGGAACAAACAGG
rnacentral:rRNA from 1 species